CUCAGUUAAUAUUUGACAUACAUAUGCACAUAUGCACAUAUACACCACACAUAGGGACAUGGUCCAACUCUCAAAAACUUUGUUUGAGUAUUAAGCUCUAGUGAUAAGCCACAAGAUACAGUUUCCAUAGCAUGAUCAAAUUUUUGAGGUUUUGAUUUAGAGGCAAUAUAUGCAUCAACGUUAAGGCUUAUGUGAUCAGUUAAUAUCAUUGAAUGUUAAGGCUUAUGUGAUCAGCUAAUAUCUUUGAAAGUUGAGGCUUAUGUGAUCAAUUCAUUUCUUUGAAUUUCAUCACAUCUUGAUUUUUUAAGUAGCCUUCUUCAGUUGAAUACUUGAAUAAGAUAUGUGGAUUAAACUUUGAAGGAUGACAUUUCCAGAAGGACUUCAUCCUUGAUCCUUAUUAACUGAGAAAUGAUAAGGUGAAGGGUGUUAACCUCAGGUGGCUUUACCCACAUUUGUCCGUCAUACCAGCCACUCUCUUUGUAAGAUAGAGAGAUGCAACAAUUGUUGAGGCUCAAGCAUUAGGGGCAGUAGUUCACUCUCAAGGUCCAUUGUUUGGAGGUGUUCAAAAAAUGUGAAGUCUUCAAGUGACAAUGUCCUUGUUUGUUAGAGGUCUCUGGAUAGUUUGAUAUUUCUUUGCAUAUCUCAUCAUUUUGUUGUUUACUUUAGAAGAUUACUUCUUCUUGUUUUUUUUUUUUUUUUUGGUUUGGACAUCUUAUAUGUACAUUUUUAUAUAUUUUAUAAUUAAAUACUUUUUCUUGGUUUA